CCGCUGAACUUAAGCAUAUCAAUAAGCGGAGGAAAAGAAACUAACAAGGAUUCCCUCAGUAGCGGCGAGCGAACAGGGAAAAGCCCAGAACCGAAUCCUGCAAAUUUAUUUGCUAGGAAAUGUGGUCUUUGGUUCAGUUCUUACAGCGUAUUGGAGUUGUUCUAAGUCCACGUGAUUGUGGCAUCAAUCCCAGAGAGGGUGUAAGGCCCGUAUGAACAAUACAGUACGUACAGGAACUGUUCCUAGAGUCGGGUUGUUUGGGAAUGCAGCCCAAAUCGGGUGGUAAACUCCAUCCAAGGCUAAAUACAACACGAGUCCGAUAGCGAACAAGUACCAUGAGGGAAAGUUGAAAAGAACUUUGAAGAGAGAGUUCAACAGUGCGUGAAACCGCUUAGAGGUAAACGGGCAGAGCUGAAGACAAGCCAUCACAGGGGUUUCUUUCGUUUGAUCUUUGCGCUGUUCUCACGGCUUACCGGAGACAGUGUAAAUGUACAACAUUCGAUUGAUCUAUUGUGGCGGUUUGACACCAUGACCGGUACGUAAGUUGGCCUAGCGUCUAGAGUAAGGUAAUUCGGAUUUUUCCGAAUAUUAUAGACUCUAUUCCUAGCGUCGACUGAUUACCGUUUAGCAAAUUUUGCCAUUGCUUUAUUAAUGUCUUUUGGCGGGUGAGUUGGGAUACGACAUAUGUUUAAAUAUGCCGUUGUCUUAAAUUUGUCAGUCGAGGGGCCUCUUUUUAGAGCAUAGUAGUUGUGGUGCAAUUGUAAGUUUCUGCCUGACCCGUCUUGAAACACGGACCAAGGAGUUUAACAUGUGCGCAAGUCAUUGGGUUCUACGAAACCUAAAGGCGAAGUGAAAGUAAAGACAAACAUUUUGUUUGUCGUGGUGGGAUCUCGGUGCUAAUGUGCUGCACAUAGCCUGAGCGCACCACCAGCUCGUCCCAUGCUUUAUUAAGCGGGGCGACGCAAGAGCGCACAUGUUGAGACCCGAAAGAUGGUGAACUAUGCUUGCGUAGGUUGAAGCCAGAGGAAACUCUGGUGGAGGACCGUAGCGAUUCUGACGUGCAAAUCGAUCGUCAAACGUGAGUAUAGGGGCGAAAGACUAAUCGAACCAUCUAGUAGCUGGUUCCCUUCGAAGUUUCCCUCAGGAUAGCUGGCACUCGGGAAACAAACAGUUUUAUCCGGUAAAGCGAAUGAUUAGCAGUAUUGGGGAUGACAUAUCCUCAACUGAUUCUCAAACUUUAAAUGGGUGAGACGCCCAACUCUCUUAAAAAUGGAGUUAGGCAUCGAAUGUGAGUGCCCAGUGGGCCAUUUUUGGUAAGCAGAACUGGCGCUGUGGGAUGAACCAAACGUCUGGUUAAGGAGCCAAACACAACGCUCAUCAGAAACCACAAAAGGUGUUGGUUGAUUUUGACAGCAGGACGGUGGCCAUGGAAGUCGGAAUCCGCUAAGGAGUGUGUAACAACUCACCUGCCGAAUCAACCAGCCCUGAAAAUGGAUGGCGCUUGAGCGUUGGUCCUAUACCAGACUGUUACCACUAAUUUUGCUCAGUAUGUGGUAACAAGUAGAAGGGCGCUGUGGUAAGCAUUGAAGCCUAAGUCGUGAGACUGGGUGGAGCUGCCACGGGUGCAGAUCUUGGUGGUAGUAGCAAAUAUUCAAGUGAGAACCUUGAAGACUGAAGUG
rnacentral:rRNA from 1 species